UGAUGCCGUAAUUGCUACAUUAUAAAGAAAUGUAAAGAAAUCUUAACAGUUAACGAAAGGAACGUUAAAGAGUUAUAUUUCUAAUUUGAGUACGGAAAAAGUUUCUCUAUAAGAAUUAGGGGAAUUAGGGGCACAAAAGUUGUAAUACAAAGUAUAGAAUACCUUUUUUGAAGAGUCACCUAACUUAUAAUCCUGUUCAAUAUAUCAAACAGAAAGCAGAUAUGGGUUCUCUAGUCCUUGGGCUUUAUCUAGGAAAUUAGAGAUUAUUACAAAGAAGAAAUAAUCUACUUAGCAAUAAUUGUUAUCUUGUGCACCUGUAAAGUUUUAGUUGUGAUAGUGCAUUGUAGCUGUAAACAUUCUCAGACUAUUCCCAGAGAAUCACAUUAUCUAGUUACCCAAGCAGCUGUGCUGGAGAGGCAGUGGUUGAAAUAUUUUGAAUAAAGGCAUUAAAGGUCUAUCAUUUUAACACAAUUUAAUUUGCAAGUAUGAACUCUGAAGUUCAAUUACCUGGGGUGAAGUAAUAACAAACAUCAUGUAAUAGUCAAAGCCGGAAAAUAGAGGAAAACGGUUAUUAUCUUAAUUGAUUAUUUCAAACUGGUCUACAUCUUGGUUGGACAAGAACUACUACCAGAUAUUACGCUAAGAGGGAAGAUAAAGUGAAGAUAGUUUAAGGGUUUAUGGUCGUAAUAAUAAAAAGUUAAUUUGGCUGAUCUAGCUUGAGGAUUUACGGGAAGAGGAAGAGUAGCUGGUUUCUAAAAAAUGAUAUUAAAUUAUAUUAUGCUUAAAUUUUUGUGAUGUUUAAUCUUACUUCAGGGCGUAUAGUAAUCAAAUAAAUUACCGGUGGUUGAACUUGAGGUUGAGUUGGAUCUUGACGUCUAACUCUAGCACCUGACGCUGGUACUGGAAC